UGCGAUUCUAGUUGUACUUAUCUUCUACUUAAUGAAAUUAUCUUAGAGCCCUUCUAUUUAAAAUUUAAAGUUUUAAAUUUUAAAUUUAUAUUUAUAUUUUUUAAUUUUUAACUUUUAUUUUCAUUAAAAUUUUUUAAAUUUUAUUUUAAAUUUUAAAUUUUAACUUUAAAUUUUGCAUUUUAUAUUUGAAAUUUUAAAAUUUUAAAAUUUUAAAAUUUUAAAUUCAAUAUAUAAAUUAAGUUUUAAAAUUUAAAUUUUAAAUUUUAAAUUUUAAAUCUAAACAACUUAUGUUUUGAAUUUAAAAUUUAAAAUUUAAAAAUUUAAAAUAUAAAUAUUUGAAUUUAAAGCUUCAAUUUAAAUUUCAAAUUUAAUAUACUAAAAAUGAAAAUUCAAAAUUUUAUUUAUAAUAUUUGAAUUAUAAAUUUAAUUAUUAAUUAUUUUUUUGCUAAUAUUA
rnacentral:lncRNA from 1 species